UACGUAUGGGGCGAGCGUUGUUCGGAAUUAUUGGGCGUAAAGAGCGCGCAGGUGGUUGAUUAAGUCUGAUGUGAAAGCCCACGGCUUAACCGUGGAGGGUCAUUGGAAACUGGUCGACUUGAGUGCAGAAGAGGGAAGUGGAAUUCCAUGUGUAGCGGUGAAAUGCGUAGAUAUCGGGAGGAACACCAGUGGUGAAGACGGCUUUCUGGUCUGUUGCUGACGCUGAGGAGCGAAAGCCAGGGGAGCGAACCGGAUUAGAUACCCCGGUA
rnacentral:rRNA from 1 species